UACAGAGGGUGCGAGCGUUGUCCGGAAUCACUGGGCGUAAAGGGCGCGUAGGCGGCUCGGUAAGCGUGCGGUGAAAGCCCGGGCUCAACCCGGGUCCGGCCGAUGCGAACUGCGGAGCUGGAGCACUGUAGAGGCAGGUGGAAUUCCGGGUGUAGCGGUGGAAUGCGUAGAGAUCCGGAAGAACACCGGUGGCGAAGGCGGCCUGCUGGGCAGUUGGCUGACGCUGGAGGCGCGACAGCGUGG
rnacentral:rRNA from 1 species